GGAGGAGAGAGGAGCGCACUGUGAAGGACAAGCAAGGCGUGAAACAAUAGGAACAGUGUUCAGUGUGCAGGUCUUUUGUCAGAGUGGAAGAGAGCUGACAGGCCAGACUGUAGCAGCAAACACACACACACAUACCUGCGUGCACACACCCACACACACACACACACCAUAUCGGAGAGAGCUAGACAUCUGUAGUGAGUAGUGUGUGUUGAAUCUACUCAUCCAUUUCUAAUACAAUGAAAAGCUCCACUAACCCUGCAGACAGGGAAGACCAGGCUUCUCACCUGGACAGUGAUUUGCGCCCCCGAUUAAAUUCCUAAGGCAUAUGUUGUUAUGAGUGUCACCCAGCAUAAUAUUCAGAGCAAUGUGCUGUGCUGCAUUGACUCACUCCCCCCUGUUCGAAGUUGACUGUUAUUUGGGUGAGUUUAUUAGGUGGCUUAAGGUGGCGUCAGAUUGCCUUUUGAUGGGAUACAGUGUUGAAUGGUGUUCAGGGAGAUGUAGAUGCACCGUUUAGGACUGGUGGGGGCGGGGUUCCAAGGAUAAAUGGCUGGAGGGAGAGAAGAAUGGCUUUAGAGAUCGAUGGAGAGAGAGACUAGAGGCUUCCUAUUGAGGAGAGUUGAAGAGGUAUCUGGACAACAUUAUUUCCUUGUAAAAAAAUGUGCACAUACACAUUUCAAUUCUCAUUACCUUUAUAUGACCUCACCUUUCAUUGUGGCCAGCAAUGCUGCCUUAUUGGUCUGGAGCUCAAAUUUCAUAAUAACCACUAAGCCGAAUGCUUAAAAAUAAUUAAUCAACGUAAGGAAUUCUCUGUAGAAAAAUAUGAUCUGGCUUUACACAAAGCAGUUGUCAUGCCAUUGGUUUCUUCAACAAAGAUGUAAGUCUACCCCUCCAAAUGAAUAUAUGAAUACAGUAAGAGUUUGAGACACUUUCAUUCACAUAAGAAUUGGAGCUGUUUGAGGCAGCCUCAGUCUUGUAUACUCUGCUUGUUGCGUUAAAGGGUUUGUUUGUUACCUUUUUGAAAUGUGACUCAAAUGCAUGUUUCUUUCACCUGAAACAAGACUAACUGAAUAGUAAAGGCACUUUCCCCCCACAAAACUGUAUCAUCAUGAGACGAUAUAGAAAAACUGACUUGGGCAGCGUCUAGCGACUGGAACGCUGAGGCAGUGGGGCAAUCAAGCCGAGGCUCUGGUUCACUUUAGAAUGCAAGGUCUUCAUUACACCCUUCCAGGUCUUUUCCUUUCAAACAUAUGCUCAUUCGCAAACAAGAUGGAAGAGCUUCUUCCUCCCCUCUGGUUUGUGCUUCACAGAAUCCUAGCUAAAUGUCGCUGUGGUGGAAUUAGCCAGCUUUCAGCUAUAUCAUGCUUAUUGCGUCCUGGAACAGUGCAAUAAAUCCUAGGGUGGCGGAAGAUGUUUUUAUGUCAUCCAAGGUUUUGCAAGGAAAUCACUUUCCAUAAAUCUUCCUCUCAUAACAUGCUAACUAUUUUGACCCAAUGCAAACUAAUGUUGAUCCCGCAAAUUCUAAUGAGGAAUUUUGGUUGGAGUUUACUUUGUACUGAGUGCCAGCAUGUCUAGAAUGGAACAGCUUCUCACUGCCCCGAUCAAGUAAAAGGUUUAAUUCUACAUUGACUAUCACAAACAGCAGCUUCCCAGAUACACACAAGUAAUGAAAUUCUCCAAAAAGAUAGAAUCACAAUAAAACACUAGGCCAUAAGAUGCUCCAACCCAUUCCUUCAUAUAGAGAAACAGUUAAAACUGUAAAGCCUGUCGAACAUUCAGUUCUAAAGGAUUGACAAGGUCACUGGGGAGCUAAAGGACUGCCUUGAAAGAUUCAACAUGUUCAAGGACAAUAAUGCCAACAUGCAAGACUACACUGACAGGGUCACAUCCUGCAUGAAAGAAUGUGUCCAUUCAUAAACAUAAAGAGGAGGACCACCGAGGAGCAGCCCAAGAGCAGGUAUAGAUCCCUUUUUGUGGAAUAAGUCACCAUGAGUCACCAUUCCACCUCUUUUUGUGGAAAGGAGGAGGAACCUGUUCGAAACUUGCAUAGCAAGUUUGACAUUUGUGAUUUUUUUUUUUACAUUUGCAUUGGCCCACUUUUAUUUGUCUUCAAUAAUGUUUUGUGCAGCCGAAGAGGGACUUUGGUUGAUUCUUUUCUGACACUUCCCGUCUUUGAGCGUUAACAAUAUCAACAGUUGAGAUUGCUCCUUGUAUCACCCUGACCUCAUUCUCCCUCAUGCUGCCUGGAGGAACAAACCAAGAAGGUAGCCAGAGAUCCCUUGACUGGACAUCUACUCCUACUUUAAAGACAGUUCAGGUGCAGCAGCAAUUGUUGCCCUGUCACAUGGGCUAUGUCGAUGGUAUCAUCAAGACCCAGCAGCAAAGAGUCAUCCUCUGUGUCCAACGAUAUGAGGAUUUCAUCAGCAGAUUCUAGGCACGAGUACCCAGUGAUGGAGCAGGAGAUUCGGGCAAAUCAAACAGAGAGACUUGGAAAGCUGAAGAGGAGGAGGCCUAUCAAGGAUAUGAAAUUUCCCCUUCAAGUUGUCGAUCACCUGCCCUUAACCAGAAUAACUUUCACCCUUUUGUAGAAUAUUGUUUUUGCUAAUAAAACAUGUCUUGUGCCA